UACGGAGGGUGCAAGCGUUAUCCGGAUUCACUGGGUUUAAAGGGUGCGUAGGUGGGAAGGUAAGUCAGUGGUGAAAUCCCCGAGCUUAACUUGGGAACUGCCAUUGAUACUAUCUUUCUUGAAUACCUUGGAGGUGAGCGGAAUAUGUCAUGUAGCGGUGAAAUGCUUAGAUAUGACAUAGAACACCAAUUGCGAAGGCAGCUCACUACACGGUCAUUGACACUGAGGCACGAAAGCGUGGGGAGUCAAACAGGA
rnacentral:rRNA from 1 species